CACGUGUUACAAUGGCAGGUACAGAGGGGUGCUACCGGGUGACCGGAUGCCGAUCUCGAAAACCUGUCCCAGUUCGGACUGGAGUCUGCAACCCGACUCCACGAAGUUGGAUUCGCUAGUAAUCGCGCAUCAGCCAUGGCGCGGUGAAUACGUUCCCGGGCCUUGUACACACCGCCCGUCAAGCCAUGGGAGCCGGGGGCGCCUGAAGUCCGGGACCGCGAGGACCGGCCUAAGGCGAAACUGGUGACUGGGGCUAAGUCGUAACAAGGUAUC
rnacentral:rRNA from 1 species